GGGGGGCCAGGCGGUGGUGGCGCACCUGGUUGAGCACUCACAUUACAGAGCACAAGGAGCCAGGUUCAAGUCCCUGGUCCCCA
rnacentral:miRNA from 1 species